rnacentral:lncRNA from 1 species
CUAGGAUUGGGGUGGGGUUCAUCCCACCCAGACCACAGAGACUGAAAAUAAGAAAGGGGUGAGGCCUAAGGGACAAUCAGGAUGUUUUUCAGAGAGAAGUGUGGAUGCUGGACAGGAAGAACCACAGAUACCAGAUACGGGUACUGUUGUAACUCUGUUCUCCAUGAAAAUGCCUCCAAAUUGGCUGAACCUGCUGAAAGCCGGUGGGAGAGAGCCUGGGAAAUGUAUUUCGGAGGCAUACACAACAGAGGAAGGUGUCUGGGGGCCCAGGACAAACCGGCAGUUGACAGCGUAGUGGCUUUUCAGAAACAAGUCUUGUCAGAAAUGUGACUUUUUCUGGGGAAAAUUGGACUAGAAGCGAGAACAAGAACUGUUUUCUGGGAAUUCCCUCUAUGGGAAAGUCAUGGUGGUAUCGACUGUAGAUUGGCAGAUGACAGAGGGCCUCUUUGAGGGGGUGCCAGAUGGCUGAGGAUGCCUGACCAGGGGCUGACAUCUCUGCACACAUCCUGGUGGAGAGGUUUCCAGGCUGAGCAAGGAGCCAGUAACAGCCAUGAAGACAGCACAGAGGAAGCUGUGUCAAAAAAUCAGAAACCGAUAUUUCAGACAAGCCUGGUUACAAAAUUAUGAGGAACCUUUGGCCCUUUCCUUCACCCUAAGCAGUGACAUCAACACCAUCACCCCGGAUGAAUAUCAGUUUACUUACCGAGGCUCCUUCAAGCUCUUGGCAGGCAAGACCAUGGACCCAAGAGGGUAUGUAACUGUGUAUUGUCAGCGACUCCACACGGCUACAUUUCGGUAUUUAAUGAGGCAUUGAUCUUGCUGGAGAUUUUUGAAAGUCUGGCCAGCUGGCCCAUUGGAAGGAGACCUGAGCUUGGUUCUCUGUGCCUGAGUCGUUGGCUGUCUAUGCUACAGGAACUGCCUCAGCUGUGGAAAUGCCAUGAAUCCUUUUCCCCGUUGGCCAUGCAGCAGGACAUACUUUAUUCAGCUGGGUGCUGAAAAAGAAUCUUGGAAAUUAGGAAACUGAAUGAGGCCUCAUUUCACACUCAGAAUGUGGGUUGCAAUAGUCACUUCCUCUGCUGCUGGGAAAGAAAGAAUUAUACUACCUUUUGAAUUUUGGAUUAAGGAGAGAGGUGUUGGCUUGUCAAACUACCAUGUAUUCCUCAAGACAUAUUUUUGUGGCUUUAUAAAAUUCAAUAUAUAUGUCUAAAUUCAAAAAUAUUUUGUUGCAAUCUGGCCCUUGGACAAACUGAGGCCCUAGCAACUGAUGUUUAUGGCUUUCCGUAGAACCUUUCAGAUAAAAUUUACACAGCAUUUUACUGCAGCUAUUUCACACAAAGCAGAGGAUUUUGCCACAAAACUGAAAGAAAAAAGAAACUGCAUUCUUAAAUUUUUCAUAAAUCAAAAGGUAUAAAAAUAUCUACCUAAACGAUAAAGGAGAUGAGAAACCCCACCCAUGAUGGGAAGAAAGCCUAUUUCAGUUUUGCCUUUACUUCAAGUUCUUUUUUCCAUAUCUGGAAUGCAAUCAGAAUUUUAAUCUUGCCUUGGGUUCCUCCUGGAUUUGGGGAGAAGACAAAACCUGAAAAUCUCUAAUCUGCAUGUGUUCAGCUGCGUAUCUUCUGGAUACGGAAGGAUCACACUGCACAGAGUGCUGGACUUGCAGGAGCCCCGCUUCUCAACCUCCAUCGCUUUAUGAAUGAAUUCACCAGAAAGAAAAGGAAGAAUCAACACUUUCAGAGAUGGAGCCUGUUGAGCCACAGUACCAACUAGUCAAUGCUGAAUCGACUUCUCCCUUUCUACAUUGCCUGAGAGAAGUCAUUGGGGAAUACUCUGUACACGAAUUUUCACUGUUGGGGAAAACAGAGAGUCAAGGGAUUGGAUUGUGGAUUGCAUUGGUGGUUUUCCUCAGUUUCCUCAUCUUCUCCACAAGUUUCUACAUAUCGAAUGCAGAGCAGCCCUUCUUCAAAGGACCUCCUACGGAAGCUGCUAAGGAACUCAGUCUGUAGCUCUGCGUGGAGCCAUGUGUAAACACUGAACUGAGACCUGCCACCUCCUACUACCUAAGGGCCCAUUUUCAUCUGAUAUCAUCCCCCAGAAACAAACUCAUGAUGACUUCCAUGUUUUUUUUAGAUUAGAUACAUGGAGAAUUUUCCUUUCCCUUAGAAUUAAAAUCC